UUAAGGGGAAGUUGGUGAUCCUAUGCUGCCAAGAAAAUCUUCUAGCGAGGUUCUAGCCGCCCGUACCCCAAACCGACUCAGGUGGUUAGGUAGAGAAUACCAAGGCGAUCGAGUGAAUCGUGGUUAAGGAAUUCGGCAAAAUACCCCCGUAACUUCGGGAGAAGGGGGGCCCAGAGGGUGACGGGACUUGCUCCCCGAGCCUGAACGGCCGCAGAGACCAGGGAGAAGCGACUGUUUACUAAAAACACAGGUCCGUGCCAAGUCGCAAGACGAUGUAUACGGACUGACGCCUGCCCGGUGCUGGAACGUUAAGGGGACCGGUUAGCCUCACGGCGAAGCUGAGAACUUAAGCGCCAGUAAACGGCGGUGGUAACUAUAACCAUCCUAAGGUAGCGAAAUUCCUUGUCGGGUAAGUUCCGACCUGCACGAAUGGCGUAACGACUUCUCCACUGUCUCAACCACGAACUCGGCGGAAUUGCACUACGAGUAAAGAUGCCCGUUACGCGCAGAAGGACGGAAAGACCCCGGGACCUUUACUACAGCUUGGUAUUGGUGUUCGGUACGGCUUGUGUAGGAUAGGUGGGAGACUGUGAAGCUGACACGCCAGUGUCGGUGGAGUCAACGUUGAAAUACCACUCUGGUCGUUCUGGAUAUCUAACCUAGGUCCGUAAUCCGGAUCAGGGACAGUGCCUGGUGGGUAGUUUAACUGGGGCGGUUGCCUCCUAAAAGGUAACGGAGGCGCCCAAAGGUUCCCUCAGCCUGGUUGGCAAUCAGGUUUCGAGUGUAAGUGCACAAGGGAGCUUGACUGUGAGACUGACAAGUCGAACAGGGACGAAAGUCGGGACUAGUGAUCCGGCGGUGGCUUGUGGAAGCGCCGUCGCUCAACGGAUAAAAGGUACCCCGGGGAUAACAGGCUGAUCUUGCCCAAGAGUCCAUAUCGACGGCAUGGUUUGGCACCUCGAUGUCGGCUCGUCGCAUCCUGGGGCUGGAGUAGGUCCCAAGGGUUGGGCUGUUCGCCCAUUAAAGCGGUACGCGAGCUGGGUUUAGAACGUCGUGAGGCAGUUCGGUCCCUAUCCUCUGCGCGCGCAGGAAACUUGAGAAGGGCUGUCCCUAGUACGAGAGGACCGGGAUGGACGAACCUCUGGUGUGUCAGUUGUUCUGCCAAGAGCACCGCUGAUUAGCUACGUUCGGGAGUGAUAACCGCUGAAAGCAUCUAAGCGGGAAGCAUGCUUCAAGAUGAGGUUUCCAUGGGGUUUACCCCGAGAGGCUCCCAGCUAGACUACUGGGUUGAUAGGCCGGAUGUGGAAGUGCGGUAACGCAUGGAGCUGACCGGUACUAAUAAGCCGAUAACUUGACUC
rnacentral:rRNA from 1 species